rnacentral:rRNA from 1 species
UACGGGGGGGGCAAGCGUUGUUCGGAAUUACUGGGCGUAAAGGGCUCGUAGGUGGCCAACUAAGUCAGACGUGAAAUCCCCAGGCUCAACUUGGGAACUGCGUCUGAUACUGGAUGGCUUGAAUUCGGGAGAGGGAUGCAGAAUUCCGAGUGUAGCGGUGAAAUGCGUAGAUAUCUGGAGGAAUACCGGUGGCGAAGGCGGCAUCCUGGACCGAGAUUGACACUGAUGAGCGAAAGCCAGGGGAGCAAACGGG